CCUGGCUCAGAUUGAACGCUGGCGGCGUGCCUAAUACAUGCAAGUCGAACGAUAGCGACCGGUGCUUGCACUGUUCAAUCUAGUGUCGAACGGGUGAGUAACAGGUGGGUAACCUGCCCAUCAGAGGGGGAUAACAUUCGGAAACGGAUGCUAAAACCGCAUAGGUCUUCGAGCCGCAUGGCUUGAAGAGGAAAAGAGGCGCAAGCUUCUGCUGAUGGAUGGACCCUCGGUGCAUUAGCUAGUUGGUGAGGUAACGGCUCACCAAGGCCUUGAUGCAUAGCCGACCUGAGAGGGUGAUCGGCCACAUUGGGACUGAGACACGGCCCAAACUCCUACGG
rnacentral:rRNA from 1 species